CCUACGGGGGGCUGCAGUGGGGAAUAUUGGACAAUGGGCGAAAGCCUGAUCCAGCCAUGCCGCGUGUGUGAAGAAGGCCUUCGGGUUGUAAAGCACUUUCAGUGGGGAAGAAAGCCUUGGGGCUAAUACCCUCGAGGAAGGACAUCACCCACAGAAGAAGCACCGGCUAACUCCGUGCCAGCAGCCGCGGCAAUACGGAGGGUGCGAGCGUUAAUCGGAAUUACUGGGCGUAAAGCGCGCGUAGGCGGUCUGAUAAGCCGGUUGUGAAAGCCCCGGGCUCAACCUGGGAACGGCAUCCGGAACUGUCAGGCUAGAGUGCAGGAGAGGAAGGUAGAAUUCCCGGUGUAGCGGUGAAAUGCGUAGAGAUCGGGAGGAAUACCAGUGGCGAAGGCGGCCUUCUGGACUGACACUGACGCUGAGGUGCGAAAGCGUGGGUAGCAAACAGGAUUAGAUACCCCAGUAGUC
rnacentral:rRNA from 1 species